rnacentral:rRNA from 2 species
UUAAAUGGCCGCAGUAUUUUGACUGUGCAAAGGUAGCAUAAUCAUUAGUUUCUUAAUUAGAAGCUAGAAUGAAAGGUUGAACGAAAAAAUAACUGUCUCUUUAUAAAUUUAUUUGAAUUUUAUAUUUAAGUUAAAAAGCUUAAAUAAUUUUAAAAGACGAGAAGACCCUAUAGAGUUUUAUAUAAAUUUUUAUAUAAAUUUAUUUUUAAUUAUAAAGAUUCUAUAAAAAAUUAUAUUUAAUUGGGGUGAUUAAAAAAUUUAAUAAACUUUUUUUUUAUUUAAACAUUAAUAUAUGAUUAAUUGAUCCAUUAUUUAUGAUUAUAAGAUUAAAUUACCUUAGGGAUAACAGCGUAAUUUCUUUUUAGAGUUCUAAUCGAUAAAGAAGUUUGCGACCUCGAUGUUGGAUUAAAAUAUAGUUUUGGUGUAGAAGCUAAAAAUUUAGGUCUGUUCGACCUUUAAAAUUUUACAUGAUCUGAGUUUAAACCGGUGUAAGCCAGGUUGGUUUCUAUCUUUAAAUAAUUUAAAUAUUUUAGUACGAAAGGACCAAAUAUUUAAAAUAUUUUUUAAAUAUUGAAUAAUAAUAAUAA